GCUCCACUGACUUGGGACACCUAACAUUUUGUACCCUUUGAACAGCUACUUAAAAAGAUAUACUAUGACCAGGACCUUGGGAACAGCCUCUUCAUGUGGCCAGCUGUUCAUGGCCUCGUCCCGGAUCACAGCAGCUGAAAUCAAACCCAGCUGAUGUGAAAUGGAUUGGAUCCUACUAAGGACCUGAGCCCUAGGACCAUGCUCAGGUCUACCUGACCAGAUGACCCCUGGCUGUCCGUGUCCCCAGUCCACCCUUUCAUGCUGCUGCUCCAGUUUCAACUGUUCUACCUGCAGCUUUGGAACCCUGACCUGUUCACCGGACAUGCUACCUUGUCCUGGACAUGCUGUUUUCAACCCCCCCACUCCACUCACUAUCUCUCUCGCUCUCUCGCUCUCUCGCUCUCUCUCUGUUUUGAAUUCAACAAAAUGUGAAAUAAUUAAAGGGGUAUGAAUACUU